ensembl:lncRNA
CCGUAAUAUAGUGCAAUUUUGUUGAUUAAGCCGAUUGCUGGAUUAAUCCGAUUGCAAAACUGAAUAUCCGGCGAAUAUCCAACCUGCUGCUAACUUUUACCCGCUUGAUCAAGCUUUGUGAUUCAUCAGCCAAGGGAUGAAAAAAGAAAGAGUUAAUCUAUGGGCUGGAGCAGCUGUCUCUGAGAGGAAAAGAAAAAAAUAGUGUUCCUGUCCGGGCCGUAUCUUUGGGAGGCGCGGUUUGGUGGUUUGCCGUGUACUUGCAUGUAGAUAAGUAGGGUGUUACCUGCUCAAUUCAUACAUUUUUACAAUUGUUUAUUAAUAGUAUUUUGUUCUAGAACCAGCAUUGGUGGAGUUGGAGACGUCACAUUCUGGCGCUGGCGCUUCAGUGCUCCUAUUUUCAUCUCAUAGAAUAAUAACAUGACUUUUUUCAACCAUUUAAAAAUAAACUUUGUAGACUUGAACUGGAAACACGUCUCUGCAAGUCUUUACACAAAUCUGUAUUAUAAAUGUUGUUUGUUUUUGUACUAUUGGUGCGGUCACAUUCAUAUAUAUAAAUUCUGAUAAGACAUGGACAUCCCCAACUCCAAUUACGCCAUCUCUCAACAUGCCACUACUUGUGUGCUAUUAAUCAUUCGCAUAGACCUAUUAAGAAAUAAUUUGGUACAGUACUAUAAAUUAAUCUGUAACGUCAAGCUAUUUUCUAACCAACAAUGUCCCUGACUGACACAUAUCCCCUUCACGUAGGGACUAGGCUAAUAACAGACUAAUACAAAAAAUGUGACUGAAAAAGUGACUUCCCUUGUGUAAAUUCGGAUGUCUGCGUCGGAGCCAGCAAACCGCUGCAGUCCAAACUCUCGCUGGAGACGUAACUCCUGUAGCUCCUUUCUCAGCUCCUGUACUUCAUUUGAGACGCUUUCAACAGCGGAUGCGGACAUAUCCAUGGCAGUCGUUUCAGGGACAGAGCAGUAGUUUUGAUCGUUGAAAAGGAGAUCAACUUCAUCUUCCGGAGGGGCAGUUUCGACGAACCGAUCCACUCUCUCCCACACGCCGCGCCUUGGGGUUUCGACUGUAUACUGGUUCCACUCAAAAAGGGUCGCUACGGCACCUUUUGUAAGUCUCCUUCGACCCUGAAGAGUAAUUGGCUCAAUCAUCUGGUCAGAACUAAAGUUUCUGCUACAGACCUUAGAGUGAGUGGUGAUGACAUAUUUAUCCCGGCUUAUGUUUAAGCCAUUGACUCCUCACGUCAGUUUGGCUUGGAAAGCCAUGGAAACUAAAUACCCCUUUGGAUUUGGCUGAUGCUGUACAGUGAGGGACACAGCAGUGAUCGUAGGUUUCUCCUGCCUAUAAAAACGAACCGUUUUUAAAUGUUUGCGGCCUUGAUUCAUGUCUAAAGUAUAUCAACGUCAGCUGGCUGGCGCGAUAAACACA